rnacentral:rRNA from 1 species
GAUGAACGCUGGCGGCGUGCCUAAUACAUGCAAGUCGAGCGAACAGACGAGGAGCUUGCUCCUCUGACGUUAGCGGCGGACGGGUGAGUAACACGUGGAUAACCUACCUAUAAGACUGGGAUAACUUCGGGAAACCGGAGCUAAUACCGGAUAAUAUAUUGAACCGCAUGGUUCAAUAGUGAAAGACGGUUUUGCUGUCACUUAUAGAUGGAUCCGCGCCGCAUUAGCUAGUUGGUAAGGUAACGGCUUACCAAGGCAACGAUGCGUAGCCGACCUGAGAGGGUGGUCGCCCACACUGGAAGUGAGACACGGUCCAGACUCCUACGGGAGGCAGCAGUAGGGAAUCCUCCGCAAAGGGCGAAAGCUUGACGGAGCAACGCCGCGUGAGUGAUGAAGGUCUUCGGAUCGUAAAACUCUGUUAUUAGGGAAGAACAAAUGUGUAAGUAACUAUGCACGUCUUGACGGUACCUAAUCAGAAAGCCACGGCUAACUACGUG